rnacentral:rRNA from 1 species
AUGAACGCUAGCGGCAGGCCUAACACAUGCAAGUCGAGGGGUAACAGGGAGCUUGCUCCGCUGACGACCGGCGCACGGGUGCGCAACGCGUAUGCAAUCUACCUCUUACUAGGGAAUAGCCCAGAGAAAUUUGGAUUAAUGCCCUAUAUUAUAUUGAGUCGGCAUCGAUUUUAUAUUAAAGGUUACGGUAAGAGAUGAGCAUGCGUCCCAUUAGUUAGUUGGUAAGGUAACGGCUUACCAAGGCUUCGAUGGGUAGGGGUCCUGAGAGGGAGAUCCCCCACACUGGUACUGAGACACGGACCAGACUCCUACGGGAGGCAGCAGUGAGGAAUAUUGGACAAUGGACGGAAGUCUGAUCCAGCCAUGCCGCGUGUAGGAAGACUGCCCUAUGGGUUGUAAACUACUUUUAUACAGGAAGAAUAAGAUCUACGUGUAGAUUGAUGACGGUACUGUAAGAAUAAGGACCGGCUAACUCCGUGCCAGCAGCCGCGGUAAUACGGAGGGUCCGAGCGUUAUCCGGAAUUAUUGGGUUUAAAGGGUCCGUAGGCGGGCUGUUAAGUCAGAGGUGAAAUGCUGCGGCUCAACCGUAUGCACUGCCUUUGAUACUGGCGGUCUUGAGUUAUAGUGAAGUGGCUAGAAUAUGUAGUGUAGCGGUGAAAUGCAUAGAUAUUACAUAGAAUACCGAUUGCGAAGGCAGGUCACUAACUAUACACUGACGCUGAUGGACGAAAGCGUGGGUAGCGAACAGGAUUAGAUACCCUGGUAGUCCACGCCGUAAACGAUGGAUACUAGCUGUUCGGUUUUCGGACUGAG